GAGCGUUGAAACCUCUUUGGGUGAGGUCAGUGCAGAUCAAAGAAGAUGGUGGUGGGUGUCCAAAUCAGAUUUGGAUGUUGCUUUACGUCGGUGACCGCUGCAAUUGCAAAUUGCAGAUUGGUGGAGCUUAGACAGCGGGGGUGCUACUCAGCGGAGCCUUGGCCUUUGGUGGAGGCUAGAGGAGGAUGCUAGCGGUGGCAGCAUUGGUCUGCGGUGGCUCGUAGCGGAGCUUUGGCCAGCGGUUUGCAGCUGGAGGAGGUUCGCCGGCGGUGGCCUCUAGCGGAGUUGUAGCUAGCUGAGGACUUGGUGUGCAGCGGAGAAUUGGUGCUCAACGAUUUGGAGGUCAGCGGAGGCUUGCUGGUCAGCUAAGCCUUGAUGCCUAAUGAAGACUUGGCGAAGGAAUUCGCAGCUGAUGGUACUUAGCGGAAGGGAUUGCCGCUAAAGGCGCUUGGCCACUAACGGAGAUUGAAGCUUAGACGCUUGCCUAGCGGAAGGGAGAUUCCGCUGAUGGAUAAGAGAGGAACCGCUGAGGCUAGCGGGGCUGGCUGCCGCUGGUAGUUCCGGUGAUUGCUGCAGCUGACGGAGGCUAGCGCUGGAAGUGGUGGCCAGUGGUGUCCAGCGGAGAUGGUGCCAGUGGAGCACUCGACGGAGCUGGGCGGAGCGGAGCCGCUGGCUGGUGGUGGCAGUGAAGCCUGCUGCUCACUUGGAGCUCGGCGGAGGGACUGAGCUAAGCGGAGGCUCAAUGCUGGCGGAGUUGUGCCGCUGGUGCUUAUCCAUAGGUGCCCAGAGAAGUCUUCUGGGUGUCCAGAGUAAACUAGCGGCAAAUUUUUUUUUUUUAAGUUCAUCGUUGACUUUGUUGUUGUCUUUGACCAAUAGUGAGUUAGCAUUGCCCAGCGUUGACUGAACGUUGACCAGACCUACUCAAUGUUGACCAAGCAUUUGACUGUAGUUGACCAGCCCCAAUGGGCGUUGACCGGCCAUGAUGGGAGUUGACCAACCUUAAUUUGAUGUUUACCAAAGUUCAUAGAACGUGAUGAAGCCAUUGUGUUGGCUUCCCACAGACGGCGCCAAUGUUAACAUUAGAGAUCCGAGGGGG
rnacentral:lncRNA from 1 species